UUUGGGAGGAGGGGGGGUCCCUCAGCCCAGAUUGUGAGAGGGCACAGUCCAGGCCGAGGGACCCCACUGGUGCACA
rfam:Myotis lucifugus cont2.30489, whole genome shotgun sequence.